CGUGGGGGGGGAUCCCUUAGUCCGGAUUGCGAGAGGGCGCAGGCCAGGCAAAGGGACCCCCACUGGUGCACG
rnacentral:pre_miRNA from 1 species